rnacentral:lncRNA from 1 species
GACUGCGUUCACAGAGGCCAAUCUCAGGAGUGAUGCUAUUUUGUAAAGAGUAUAGCUAGAGGCAGUCAUGCUUUUUUAUUUAAUAUGAUAGGCCAAAGAUACUUAUGGAGUACCUUAGUUAGCUGUUGAAAAUGUGAGUUUCGGAAGCUCUAGCAGAUAAUUUAACACCCUUCUUAGUUCACAGUAAUAACAGAUCUUUCAUCAAAAGUCUCAGAAGAAUAAAAUCUUCACAGAGUAAGUCCAGAGCUUGAAAGGAAUCAGUGGCAAAAAAUGUUGCCAAACUGAAAGCUUAGAACUUUUUUCCGUUGCUGCCAUCAACCGCAUGCGUACUGGAUAUGAGCCAGUCAGUCUCAGUAAGCAAACUAGAUGUGAACAUUUACACUCGGGAAAAGGGGGCACAAACCCAGCGCUGAAAGAUCAGAGGGAAGGAAUUGGAAUAUAUUCAGAAAUCAACUGUGUUCAGAAUGACGGAGUGCCACAGCUUUAUGGAUAAGCAAACUAAAAAUGAAUGUUUUCCAGCAGUUUCCUGAAAGAUGACAAAGAAGAAGAAGAUGUCAAGCAAGUAAUUCUGCUUGGCUGUGUAUUUGGAACUGUCGGUCUUGUAGUCUUGGCACGUCUGAUUUUCUUGUGUAGAAAGGAGAGACAAAAACACAACCAGAAGCUUGUUUCAGAGGUUCCAGUUACAUCAGAACAAGAAACAGUGAAGUUCCAGAGAAGUUUUUAAUGAUAUACAGAAAAAGCAUAACGGAGGAUUAAAUUACCUGCAGCAUGCAUGCCUUUUUAUACAUCAGCCAAGGAUAGGCUUUUCAAACACAAGUGAUGGUUUUACAUAGUAUGCUAACAGUUAAUUUUUGCUUUCUAUACAAUGAGUGUUCAAUUGCAUGCGGAAUGCUAACUAAUUUUAUGGGAUUAUGUAGUGGCAUGUUCAGCCUAUUGUGUAUCACAAACAAAUGAUAAUGCCUCUGAAAGCAUCAGUUUCAAAGUUAUAUGCAUUAGCUUCUUAGUCACAUCUUCUUCAGUCGAACCACAGUUUUAAGAAAAAAUAAAAGAGUUAGUCAUUUUUAUGCA